AUCAUGGCUCAGGACGAACGCUGGCGGCGCGCCUAACACAUGCAAGUCGAACGAGCGAGAGAGAGCUUGCUUUCUCAAGCGAGUGGCGAACGGGUGAGUAACGCGUGAGGAACCUGCCUCAAAGAGGGGGACAACAGUUGGAAACGACUGCUAAUACCGCAUAAGCCCACGGCUCGGCAUCGAGCAGAGGGAAAAGGAGCAAUCCGCUUUGAGAUGGCCUCGCGUCCGAUUAGCUAGUUGGCGAGGUAACGGCCCACCAAGGCGACGAUCGGUAGCCGGACUGAGAGGUUGAACGGCCACAUUGGGACUGAGACACGGCCCAGACUCCUACGGGAGGCAGCAGUGGGGAAUAUUGCACAAUGGGGGAAACCCUGAUGCAGCGACGCCGCGUGGAGGAAGAAGGUCUUCGGAUUGUAAACUCCUGUUGUUGAGGAAGAUAAUGACGGUACUCAACAAGGAAGUGACGGCUAACUACGUGCCAGCAGCCGCGGUAAAACGUAGGUCACAAGCGUUGUCCGGAAUUACUGGGUGUAAAGGGAGCGCAGGCGGGAAGACAAGUUGGAAGUGAAAUCCAUGGGCUCAACCCAUGAACUGCUUUCAAAACUGUUUUUCUUGAGUAGUGCAGAGGUAGGCGGAAUUCCCGGUGUAGCGGUGGAAUGCGUAGAUAUCGGGAGGAACACCAGUGGCGAAGGCGGCCUACUGGGCACCAACUGACGCUGAGGCUCGAAAGUGUGGGUAGCAAACAGGAUUAGAUACCCUGGUAGUCCGCACGGUAAACGAUGGAUGCCCGCUGUUGGUCUGAACAGGUCAGCGGCCAAGCGAAAGCAUUAAGCAUCCCACCUGGGGAGUACGCCGGCAACGGUGAAACUCAAAGGAAUUGACGGGGGCCCGCACAAGCGGAGGAACAUGUGGUUUAAUUCGAUGAUACGCGAGGAACCUUACCCGGGCUUGAAUUGCAGAGGAAGGAUUUGGAGACAAUGACGCCCUUCGGGGUCUCUGUGAAGGUGCUGCAUGGUUGCCGUCAGCUCGUGCCGUGAGGUGUCGGCCUAAGUGCCAUAACGAGCGCAACCCCUCUCCUUAGUUGCCAUCAGGUUAAGCUGGGCACUCUGGGGACACUGCCACCGUAAGGUGUGAGGAAGGUGGGGAUGACGUCAAAUCAGCACGGCCCUUACGUCCGGGGCUACACACGUGUUACAAUGGCAGGUACAGAGAGACGGUUGUACGUAAGUACGAUCAAAUCCUUAAAGCCUGUCUCAGUUCGGACUGGGGUCUGCAACCCGACCCCACGAAGCUGGAUUCGCUAGUAAUCGCGCAUCAGCCAUGGCGCGGUGAAUACGUUCCCGGGCCUUGUACACACCGCCCGUCAAGCCAUGAAAGCCGGGGGCGCCUAAAGUCCGUGACCGUAAGGAGCGGCCUAGGGCGAAACUGGUAAUUGGGGCUAAGUCGUAACAAGGUA
rnacentral:rRNA from 1 species